GGCUGCAUGGUGUAGUUGGUCAUCACGUAUCCUUAACAUUCAAUGGUUCGGAUAAGGUCCUCAGUUCAAACCUGGGUGCGGUCA
rnacentral:tRNA from 1 species